GACGUAGGGCGCGAGCGUUGUCCGGAUUUAUUGGGCGUAAAGAGCUCGUAGGCGGCUUGUCGCGUCAACUGUGAAAACCCGUGGCUCAACCAUGUGGUCUGCAGUCGGUACGGGCAGGCUAGAAUUCGGUAGGGGAGACUGGAAUUCCUGGUGUAGCGGUGAAAUGCGCAGAUAUCAGGAGGAACACCGGUGGCGAAGGCGGGUCUCUGGGCCGAUAUUGACGCUGAGGAGCGAAAGCGUGGGGAGCGAACAGG
rnacentral:rRNA from 1 species